CAGCCGCCGCGGUAAUACCGGCGGCCCGAGUGGCGGUCACUAUUAUUGGGCUUAAAGCGUCCGUAGCCGGGUUGGGAAGUCCUCCGGGAAAUCUGGCCGCUUAACGGUCAGAAUGCCGGAGGAUACUCCCAGCCUAGGGAGCGGGGGAGGCCGAGGGGAUUCCCGGGGUAGGGGGGGAAUCCUAUAAUCCCGGGAGGACCACCUGUGGCGAAGGCGCUCGGCUGGAACGCGUCCGACGGUGAGGGACGAAGGCCAGGGGAGCAAACCGGAUUAGAUACCCGGGUAGUCCUGGCUGUAAACGAUGCGGACUUUGUGUCGGACAAGCUAUGAGCUUGUCCGGUGCCGGAGGGAAACCGUUAAGUCCGCCGCCUGGGGAGUACGGCCGCAAGGCUGAAACUUAAAGGAAUUGGCGGG
rnacentral:rRNA from 1 species